GAUGAAGAACGUAGCGAAAUGCGAUAAGUAAUGUGAAUUGCAGAAUUCCGUGAAUCCUCGAAUCUUUGAACGCACAUUGCGCCCCCUGGCAUUCCGGGGGGCAUGCCUGUCCGAGCGUCAUUUCUGCCCUCCAGCCCGGCUGGGUGUUGGGCGCUGUCCCCCCGGGGACACGCCCCAAAGGCAGUGGCGGCGCCGCGUCGGGUCCUCGAGCGUAUGGGGCUUUGUCACCCGCUCGGGACGGACUCGUCGGCGCUGGUCUUCCUCCAGGCGACCCUUCGGGGCUCGUCUUCCUUCGGUUGACCUCGGAUCAGGUAGGGUUACCCGCUGAACUUAAGCAUAUCAAUAAGCGGAGGA
rnacentral:misc_RNA from 1 species